AAUAGCUUAAUCGUUGAAAAGCUUUGGAUUCUUACUCCUAGGAUGUUAUUUGACUUCUCUCGGAG
rnacentral:tRNA from 1 species